UACGAAGGGGGCUAGCGUUGCUCGGAAUGACUGGGCGUAAAGGGCGCGUAGGCGGACUGCACAGUCAGGCGUGAAAUUCCUGGGCUGAACCUGGGGACUGCGUCUGAGACGUGUGAUCUAGAGUGAGGAAGAGGGUCGUGGAAUUUCCAGUGUAGAGGUGAAAUUCGUAGAUAUUGGAAAGAACACCGGUGGCGAAGGCGGCGACCUGGUCCUUGACUGACGCUGAGGCGCGAGAGCGUGGGGAGCAAGCAGG
rnacentral:rRNA from 1 species